rnacentral:pre_miRNA from 1 species
UUUAUACUCCCCCCGUCCAAAAAUUCUUGUCGUAGAUUUGUCUAAAUACGGAUGUAUCUAGUUACAUUUUAGUGUUAGAUACAUCAGUAUCUAGAAAAAUCUAAGACACAAAUUUUGGGACGGAGGGAGUAUGCG